rnacentral:lncRNA from 1 species
AAACAUGUUUGGAGGAUAACGCUCGAAAUGGCCGUUGGGUUAGCUGGGGACCACAGCUUCAGUGCCAAUGUAAUUUCAAACCAUUUGGCAACUUUGCAAGCCUAUAGUUUUUUUGCAACGUUCAGGUUUCAAACAGCAAGAAGCCUUUCGCUUUCUUGAAAGCAACUUGCAGCUGACAAUCUUAUGCCCUUCUUUAUGAGCAUUGGCCGAAUCAAAGAAACGGACGAUACUGGUAUACAGGAUAGAUAUUGUUUUCUCUAGUAAUCUUAUGACAUCGCACACUUCAGUUAACAGCAACGUCCUUUUGGUUCUGACCAUCUCCUCCAUCCAGAGAGUCCAGACUUGUUCCGAGUUGCAGCUGAGGAGGAGUAGCGUAUUAUCAUCUCUGCACGCAAUAUCAAUGUGUUAUAUGUCCAUGUCAAACCUGAGAUAACAUAACUGGCACGCACGAUCAUGUGUUUGUUUUAUGCUUAUAUGCAUGCAGGAUUGGGGUGGUUUGUUCGUGCCAGGUGGUGGAACGCAACAAACACCGUGUUUUAGAUAUAGACUGCGUUAACCCUGGGGACUACCGAUUGCUGACAUUUUCUAACUGUACAGGCUGUUGAUGUUGUCAAAAGCUGAUGUGUUCAAAACCUACUAUGAUUCUUCACGUGAGAGCUUGUCCACACGGUACCACUGUUUCAUGUUUUAGUCAUCUACUAGUUGUGAAAACAGGAGGCAAUGUAAUUGGGUGGAUUGACAAAAUGAUGUAGCUGCAUUGCUCAGCAAUAUGGAAAUCGAAGGUCCAGCAACCAAAAUGAUCUGGCAUGACGGUACGAAUUUGACGAAGUGAUGUACUGCUAGAUGUAGCCAGGACUGAUGGCACUAACAUGCUGAAAAGUGAUUUGAGGAAUAAAUAUUUUUUUUAUUGAUUCAUUCAUGCGGAGCAUGAUGCUGCAAAUCCUGCGCUACCGUUGGUGCAAGCUGAGCAUCAUUUGGUUGACUUUCUUUUAACACAUGCGGGAUGUUCUGGUUCUAGCUGAUCUUUCUCCUUAAGAACUCAGACGUCCUGGCGUUAAUGCUACGAGUAAACAUAGACUUCUUGAUGGAGUCAAAACCCAGAACAUCCUCCCCAAAAAAAAAGUCCCCUAUGCCGCGAGUUAGAGUCUCAUCGGGUGCUCAUACAAAGUAUUUCCCAAUAAGCCGUUUUGGCUUAUUAGAAAAUAAAAAAUAAUAUAUUUGUUCGUAGCGAUUUAAAAACCAAUAUUAAAAAAAUACGUUGAAAAUAUCUUAAAAUCAAUUUUAAAAUUUAGUUUGAAAAUUUAAAUUUUAGCUUUUACUUUGACUUAUUAGGUCAAGUGAUGGGGUUCACACUGGCCAGUGAUCACAAAUCAAAGUGACGGUGAUGUAAACGUGCUAGGGGCAAUAUUCCACUGGAAACUUCUGAAAGUAGCUGAUUAUGGUCGUUUUGAAAAGUACAGUGUUUGUUAGCUUCUGCUUUUCUCGUUGAUCUUUCCUUCAGCGAGAACGGUAUUUGAUUCUUGAUUUCUAAGUGGACGCAAAGAGAACCAAACUAGAGCAAAUCUCAAGUCAAUGCGAUCUUUGCUAUGCCUCAGCUUUUCCAACAACGAGGAGUCCCACAAUUGCAAAUCGGCAGUCUCCAGUUCUCCACCAAGGUUUAUCUUACCAGCAGCGGAAACUGCCGGUAAAAUUUGGUAAAUUAGUUCGAAUUUAGAUUUGAAAAAAAAAUAAAAAAAUAAAAAAAAUCAUAUAAGUAAUACCGAGUUUGUAGUUCUAUCUGAUAAUAAGGUUCUAUGAAAUGUACUAAGUUAACUCCAUGUAUUGCAGCCGAACUGAAACUGAGACUAAAAUUAGAAAAAAUAGACAGAUGGGCUAGGCCAAUAGUGAACACUAUUCAUGAAGCCCAUUAAAGUCCGCUUGAGGGAAAAAUGUGAUUCCUACUUUAUUUCAAGACGAGCACAUGAUACCAUUCGAACGAGAUACUUUUAUGGAGGCUAACGUCAUCCUGCCCCUACUCCUCGUGCUUGCGUCCUCGCGCCUUGAGCCAGCGCGACAGCAGUAGUAAGGAACAAGGGUCAAGUCGAGAAAAAAGGAGAAUAUGAGAGGAGACGCUGAUGCUUGGUACUUGCUACCUCGCAAGUACUAAUCCUGCCAUCCUGGUACCUAGGGUACUAUGUAUGAUACCUAUUGUACCGCUACGAACGAUAUAUCAUGUAACGUACCUGCACAAACUCCAACGAGAAGCAUGAUGGCUCACCGUCAUGUCGCUGCCAAUGAAAACACCAUAUCUAGAAGCUUCAUUGGUCACACCCUUCCAUCACUCUCGACAACAUGCCUAGAAGGAGGAGGUUGAGAAGCCCACGCCAAUCAACGUCCUUCCUAAUGGCUUCACUUCUUCUGAUUGCCCCUGGUUACCAUGAGAGCUAGAUUCCAAUGGGUGUCGCCAUGCCUCAAAAGCAUGAGAUGGAGGAGGCCACGAGAUUGGUGCCGUCCACUAUCCUUGUUGCCGACAUGCGCUCGGACUGGAUCAAAGCAGUGAAGAGGGCCCAUGCCUCUAGAUCCGUUCUUGGGGGCUUGCUCCACCAUUGCCAUGUCUACAUAGGGAAGCUCUUUGUGGAGAGGAGGAGAGGGGAAAAAAGGGGAAGGAGGGGAGGAUAACGAAGGCUCGAAUAAGAC